rnacentral:lncRNA from 1 species
UGUUGAGAAGCCUGUUAAUUCAAAUCGAGAGUAUGGCACUAUAUAUCUUGGAAAAGAUAGUUUGGCUGAGAAUGUGAUUGAAUCUUUGGUUUCGGAAGGUCUAGUUGAUGUGCGACGUGGAGCAAUAAAAUCAAAUGAUUUUGACAUUUGAGAAAUUUCUACAAGUUCUACAUGUUUAGCCAUUUCCCCACCUUUGCCACUGCUAUAAACAAUCUUGUUGCAUGAAGUGUAAACAAACCAUAAAGCGAGGAUGAAGAUGUGCAUGGAAAAUGCUUCUUUGAUAAUAAACUUGUUUCUUCAAUCAAGACGUAUUAGAAAUAUUGUGUAUUUUUGUUAAGAUCACUUGUGUAAAUAUAUAAGAAAAAAAUGCAGUUAAAUUUGCUGAGUUUUUAGAAAAUACACAUUUUGUAUGUUUGCAUCAAAAAAUGAGUGUGAAUUAUAGGUGUUAGUGGAUUUAAGUGGUCAUGAAUUAUUGCAAUUCUAUUGUAAUUCAAUUGCUUUUAGUAAAUUAAAAUUAAUGAAGCUAAUAAAAUAUUUUAUACUUGAAGGAUUAUAUACUGGAUUUCAGCUAUCAUGUUUUAUUCAUUUUAAAUGAUGCUUCUUAUUUCAUUUAAAGAUAAAGCAUGAUAAAUGCUAGAGUUGUAUAGUAAGCAAAUUUCUGUUUAAAUUAGCACAUCAUAUUUAUAAGUUAUAUAAAUGUUUGUUUCUAUUUCAUAUCGUGGUUCUUAUUUAGUCUUAGUUUUAAUUAAUGACAAAUUUUCUGCUGUAUAAAAUAUUUUUAUCAAUUUUGCUUUGCACUUCAUAAAUCAGAUUCGAAAUACAUACUUGGAUUACAGCCUUAAGAAUUUAAAUAUAUAUGGCAAUAAUCAUGUGAAAAAUUGUUCAAAAUUUUUUAAUAGAAAUGAAACACCUAAUUGAUCUUUUGUAUUCUGUUUGUAAUUUUCAUGUAUUUUGUAAUAACAUCUUCACUAGUUUUGUUUAUUUCAUUUUUGCAAGUUUUUCAGGUUCUUGGUUUGUUGCAUUAUAUGCCAUAUAAAAUGUAAUUUUUGGGUUAUUUGGUACUUUCUGCAGCUCUUUUUCUAAAAGUCACUGGCCUACUAACGUCCGGAGAGUAAAAUCAUUGAACAGUGUUAGUUCAACCUGGGUUCAAUUCCAAGUGAAUGAACUGGCUGCAUGGGUAUUUUCAUGGUUUUUCACUAUAUGUGAUAUGGGUACAAGCCAGUUUCACAUAGGAAGUCCUCCACGAAGGCAUCCAUCCUCUUAGGCAGAUAGCGCUCACAUGCGUUACUGUUAUCAAAUAAGCAAAACCAAACCAACCUGAAAAAGUCUCCGACUAGUUAGUGACUAUUAAUUUAGAAGUCAGACAACAGAAGUCAGCAUUACAUUUGCAAAUUUUCACAGGUUUAGUUUCGAUGGUUUUCUUUUUCCAUUCUCACCUGCCAAAGUGCAGAUAAGUGCAUUUGCGCAUUGUUCAGUAAAACCAUAAAAACUAGUCCUGUGAAAAUUUGCAAAUGUAAUGCUGAUUUUUGUUGUUUGACUUUUAAAUAAAUAUUUAUUUGGCAUGUUUUUUUAAAUUUUACCUUAAUUAGUUGGUGACUACAUUUUUUAAAGCUAAUAAUAUGCAAAAGGGAACAAAAAUGGCUGUUCACUAGAAAUUCCAUAAGAGAGUAAUCAAUCAAUAAAAUUAAAAAAGCCAGAGACGUCCAUAAUAAAACACUUAUCUUUUUCAAGAAAUCCUUAUGCAGUGUAUUUUCUUGCUAUUCUUCCCAUGUACACAGUGAUCUGUUUUCAUUAAAAAAAUUAAGAGAAUUGUGAAAAUUUGUCAUCGUACAUGCGUUUGUUUUCUCCAUUAGCACAGCAGUCUGUUUUUGAUUAAAAAAAGAUCAGGGAAUUCCACAAAUUUAACUUUUUGCAUUCUUUGUUUUUCACAUUACAUUUUCAUAAAAUUCAAGCGUUUAAGAAGUAUAACUUUGUGGAAUGGGAAUUUUUGCACUCUCUGUUGUUGAACAAAAAGCUUUACGUAUGAAGAAAUCCAGUUCUUUAUCAUCUGUUGGCAAAAUCCACAGUCCGAUUAUGGCUCGUCAUGGGGGGGGGGAUGUACUCAAUCCAAACACACAAAUCGGAAAAAUUACCAUCAAAUUUGGAGGGCUGUGGGCUCACGCAGAAAUACAUUUUAGCAAUGUUGUGGGUUGCCACAUAACAAAUUUGGUGACAGUGCAUUGCUUUAUCUAUACAUUUUGAUGGGGAGAAGUUGCAAAUAAGAAGAAAGAAAAGGUUAUUUUUAUGACCUACUGAUACAAAUUAAAAGCAAAUUAUGUAUUUAUACAUAUGUAUAUACUAAUAAUUUGUAAAGAACAAGGAGAAAAACUUUAAAAUUGAUGAAUUAUUAAAAAUUUAUGAUUUAUUUAAAAAGGACUUAAAAAAUAAAAUCCUGCAUCAUUGCUGCAAAGAUAAAAUUUUAUUAAUAGAGAAUAUAUGAAUGAAAAUUAUCUCCUAUGAAAUGCAAAGUGAAAUUUAGAUAGUAAAUGUGUACUAUUAUGGAAAUUAAAAAAUUUGAAUUUGUAAGUAAACAGGAAUUUUUAAUUAAAAUGAAAAACUAAAUAAAACAAGAGAAUUGUUCCUUAGAAAGAUCCUGACUUAUCAAGGGGAAUUGGAAUCUUCAUACAACCUCCAGCAGUUCAUGAGGAGGGCAUUUUGUCAUUUUGUAUUUCUGAGCAAAUCCCAAUUGCAAUUUAAAAAUUUCCUAUUCAGUUUUGUAAAAUCCAAAUUUGAAUUUUAAAGAAGUUCAAAAAUGUGGAAUAAUUCCUCGAUGCCCAGAUAGACAAUUAAUUGCUGUUAAUUAAAAAAUAUAGUAUUCAUGCAGAAUUAUACUUAAGCUAAAAAAAUAAGAAUAAAUAAAAAAAUAUAUGAAAAAAUGAAAUAGAGAUGCAAAUGAAAUGAAAUAAGCAAAUAAGAGUCAAACAGAGAAUUUUACUUAUUAAUAGGCCAGAAUUAUUAAGAAUUAAGAAUUUUUUUUUUUUUUUUUAUAUCUAAUCCUAUCCAAAGGAUUUGAAAAUGGUGCUGUCACAGCAAUAAGCUUUAGAUGCUAAGGAUUGCCAUGAGUAAAGUUUGGGAGAGUCCAUUUUAAUGUUACAACUGCUUCUGUAUUGGCAUGAAAUUGAAACAGGAAGGGGGUUCUUUAUGUUGGGUUUGUCAAGUAUUAGGUAUCUCUGUUGAAUAGCAUUUUGUGCCAAAUGCACCAAACCUAAUGCAUCUGUUUGGCUGUCAGACUAUAAACAAAGCCCACUUUGUUUAUUAAGCCCACUUUGACAUAUUUACAGCCCCUUAAUAGAGUUCUGGUGUAACUCUUUUGUAUUGAAAAUACCUAAAAUAGUCAAGCGAAUGAGGGCAUGGACAUCACACUCUUAUAUAAUAUGGCAUACUAUUUCCUCAUUCUCUUUUUGAUUUUAUCUAGAUAGGCAGUCAUACUUUCAAUAGCAUUUUGCCCUUCUCCAGUUGUUGAGUAACUUGAGUAGAUGUCAUUUCUACUUCACUGGGUAAAAGAUUUAUUUCUGCUCCUUCAAUUGAUUUCCUCUGGGUGUCUGUGUUUUGAGAAGAAAGGUCUCCUCAGAGGUUUGGCUUGCAAAAUCAGAAUUAUUAUAUUGCCAAAAAGUAGUCCACCCAGUAUUUCCUGUUGCUUGAUAAGGCAAAGUACACUAGAAGUUGCCGGGCAUUCUAGAGGCUGCAUUAAGACACUAUAACUGCAGUGUCAUUCAUCCUAGGCAUGGUUCACCUAACACCAGGGUUAUGGGAGGGUGUUUGUGGCUUCUUAUUUAUUAUUCACAGCUAUCCUGUCAGAUAAUACAAGGCAUCUUGCUAUCCAUCACCUGCCGAAGCACCUGGUAGCCACUUGAGCCCCAGGCAAGAAGGCGGUUUCCAUUGGCACGAAUUUUCUUCCUGUGUGCAACUGAGCUAAUUAAGAAAAAAAGCUGUAUGGUAAGAAUUGUGAACAUUAGAAAUGCAGAGUAAAAUCGAAAAUUUUGAAAUCAAUUGUGGAGAAAAAUUUUUACAUCUAAAAAGGGUGGAGGCCAGAAUACUUGCAGAACAUUUUUUAUGCAGUUAAUUACAAAAAUAUACAAAACAUCAGAGCAAACAGGGCAUCUUUUCUUACCCUCCUGUUUGGUUUCAGAGAAGCUUAUUAUUAUAUAUUAGGUUAAGUAUUAAAUUUGGUAUUCAAUGAAAGCUUUCUAAGAAAAUAAUUAAUAAAUUCUGUGAAUGUGCUGUUUUCUUUAAGUACUUGUGCAACUAAAAUGAUCUCAUUUUUUAAGUCGAAAACUUUUGUUAAGAUUUUUUUAAAUCUAUUGAUUUGAUUGAGUAUUGUGUUUCUGAUGACUCCUAGAGAUAUGGAAUUUCCAUUUGAUAAGUUUAAUUGUAAAAGAGUUAAAAGUUCUUUUAGCAAACUGUUUGAUUGUUUUAUAAUUAACUAUAUGAAGAUCAAAAUAUUCUAUUUCUUGUCCAAUUUUAUUGGGUUUAAAUCAAGAAGCAUAAAUUUGGAAUUUUUCUAUGACAUCAUAAUUAUUAAAAGUUAAUUGCAUCAUCAGUAUACAUGCAGACGUAUGCCUCUAGUUUUAAACUUGGUUGGUCAAGAGAUUGUUGAAAUUAAAAUUCUUUUGUAAGCAAGCAUAAGUCAGACAAAUUAUCAAAUUAAAUUAUAAAGCUGAUUCACAGAUUUUUAUCUUACACUUACACUCACACUUACACACACUCACAC